AGAGUUUGAUCCUGGCUCAGGACGAACGCUGGCGGCGUGCCUAAGACAUGCAAGUCGAGCGGGGUAUACGGUACGGCUUGCCGUAGCGGAUACCUAGCGGCGAACGGGUGAGUAACACGUGGGCAACCUACCCGCGAGGCCGGGAUAACAGUGGGAAACUGCUGCUAAUACCGGAUAUUCUUCAGCUGUCGCAUGGCAGGUGAAGGAAAGGUGGCCUCUGCAUAGCAAGCUACCGUUCGCGGAUGGGCCCGCGUCCCAUUAGCUAGUUGGUGAGGUAACGGCCCACCAAGGCGACGAUGGGUAGCCGGCCUGAGAGGGUGGUCGGCCACACUGGAACUGAGACACGGUCCAGACUCCUACGGGAGGCAGCAGUCGGGAAUCUUGGGCAAUGGGGGAAACCCUGACCCAGCGACGCCGCGUGGAGGAUGAAGGCCUUCGGGUUGUAAACUCCUGUCUUCGGGGACGAAGGUUCCGCCUUCGAACAGGGGGUGGAGGUGACGGUACCCGAGGAGGAAGCCCCGGCUAACUACGUGCCAGCAGCCGCGGUAAGACGUAGGGGGCGAGCGUUGUCCGGAAUUACUGGGCGUAAAGGGCAAGUAGGCGGCCUGCUAAGUCGGGUGUGAAAGGCGCGGGCUCAACCUGCGCAGGCCACUCGAAACUGGCGGGCUUGAGGGCAGGAGAGGAGAGCGGAAUUCCCGGUGUAGCGGUGAAAUGCGUAGAUAUCGGGAGGAACACCAGUGGCGAAGGCGGCUCUCUGGCCUGUACCUGACGCUCAAUUGCGAAAGCUAGGGGAGCGAACGGGAUUAGAUACCCCGGUAGUCCUAGCCGUAAACGAUGGGCACUAGGUGUGGGAGGUAUCGACCCCUUCCGUGCCGGAGCUAACGCACUAAGUGCCCCGCCUGGGGAGUACGGCCGCAAGGUUGAAACUCAAAGGAAUUGACGGGGGCCCGCACAAGCAGUGGAGCAUGUGGUUUAAUUCGAAGCAACGCGAAGAACCUUACCAGGCCUUGACAUCUUGCGAACCUGCUGGAAACAGUGGGGUGCCCUUCGGGGAGCGCAAAGACAGGUGCCGCAUGGUUGUCGUCAGCUCGUGUCGUGAGAUGUUGGGUUAAGUCCCGCAACGAGCGCAACCCUCGUCCUGUGUUACCAGCGGGUAAAGCCGGGGACUCACAGGAGACUGCCGGAGAUGAUCCGGAGGAAGGUGGGGAUGACGUCAAAUCCUCAUGGCCCUUAUGGCCUGGGCUACACACGUGCUACAAUGGCCUGUACAGAGGGAUGCGACGCCGCGAGGCGAAGCCAAUCCCCCAAAGCAGGUCCCAGUUCGGAUUGGAGGCUGCAACCCGCCUCCAUGAAGCCGGAAUUGCUAGUAAUCGCGGAUCAGCCAUGCCGCGGUGAAUACGUUCCCGGGCCUUGUACACACCGCCCGUCAAGUCAUGGGAGCCGGCAACACCCGAAGCCGGUGGGCUAACCCGGGUAACCGGGAGGCAGCCGUCUAAGGUGGGGCCGGUGACUGGGACUAAGUCGUAACAAGGUAACCG
rnacentral:rRNA from 1 species